rnacentral:rRNA from 1 species
GAUAACGCUAGCGGCAGGCUAAUACUGCAAGUCGAACGGUGCCCUCGGGCACUACGUGGCGCACGGGUGCGUAACACGUAUGCAACCUACCUUACAUUGGGGGAUAGCCUUUCGAACAGGGAGAUUAAUACCGCAUAACACAGUGAGUUGGCAUCAGCUUAUUGUUAAAGAUUUAUCGAUGUAAGAUGGGCAUGCGUCCAAUUAGUUAGUUGGCGAGGUAACGGCUCACCAAGACGAUGAUUGGUAGGGGAACUGAGAGGUCAAUCCCCCACACUGGCACUGAGAUACGGGCCAGACUCCUACGGGAGGCAGCAGUAGGGAAUAUUGGGCAAUGGACGCAAGUCUGACCCAGCCAUGCCGCGUGCAGGAAGACGGCCCUCUGGGUUGUAAACUGCUUUUAUAUAGGAAGAAAGAAUCCUUGCGCAGGAUACGUUGACGGUACUAUAAGAAUAACCACCGGCUAACCUCCGUGCCAGCAGACCGCGGAUAAUACGGAGGGUGCAAGCGUUGUCCGGAUUUAUUCGGGUUUAACAGGGUGCGCACAGUGGUUUAUUAAGCUCACGAUGGCUGAAAGCCGGUCGCUUAACGAUUGCAGUGCCAUUGAUACUGGUAGACUCUGCAGAUGAAUUAGAGGUACGCGGAAUUGAUAGUGUAGACAGGUGAACAAUGCACUAGAU